rnacentral:rRNA from 1 species
UACCAUGCAGUCGAGCGGAGAUGAGGUGCUUGCACCUUAUCUUAGCGGCGGACGGGUGAGUAAUGCUUAGGAAUCUGCCUAUUAGUGGGGGACAACAUUCCGAAAGGGAUGCUAAUACCGCAUACGUCCUACGGGAGAAAGCAGGGGAUCUUCGGACCUUGCGCUAAUAGAUGAGCCUAAGUCGGAUUAGCUAGUUGGUGGGGUAAAGGCCUACCAAGGCGACGAUCUGUAGCGGGUCUGAGAGGAUGAUCCGCCACACUGGGACUGAGACACGGCCCAGACUCCUACGGGAGGCAGCAGUGGGGAAUAUUGGACAAUGGGGGGAACCCUGAUCCAGCCAUGCCGCGUGUGUGAAGAAGGCCUUAUGGUUGUAAAGCACUUUAAGCGAGGAGGAGGCUACUGAGACUAAUACUCUUGGAUAGUGGACGUUACUCGCAGAAUAAGCACCGGCUAACUCUGUGCCAGCAGCCGCGGUAAUACAGAGGGUGCGAGCGUUAAUCGGAUUUACUGGGCGUAAAGCGUGCGUAGGCGGCUUUUUAAGUCGGAUGUGAAAUCCCCGAGCUUAACUUGGGAAUUGCAUUCGAUACUGGGAAGCUAGAGUAUGGGAGAGGAUGGUAGAAUUCCAGGUGUAGCGGUGAAAUGCGUAGAGAUCUGGAGGAAUACCGAUGGCGAAGGCAGCCAUCUGGCCUAAUACUGACGCUGAGGUACGAAAGCAUGGGGAGCAAACAGGAUUAGAUACCCUGGUAGUCCAUGCCGUAAACGAUGUCUACUAGCCGUUGGGGCCUUUGAGGCUUUAGUGGCGCAGCUAACGCGAUAAGU